CACACCGCCCGUCGCAUCACGAAAGUGGGUUGUACUAGAAGUCCGCGGGCCGACCCGCAAGGGAGGCAGCGGCCCAAGGUAUGACUCAUGAUUGGGGUGAAGUCGUAAACAAGGUACC
rnacentral:rRNA from 1 species